rnacentral:tRNA from 1 species
GGGACCGUAGCUCAGACUGAGAAGACAAAGCUUAAGACGCUGAAGACGUAGGUGUCCUGGAUUCAAAUUCCAGCGGUCCCA